rnacentral:rRNA from 1 species
UACAGAGGGGGCAAGCGUUGUUCGGAAUUACUGGGCGUAAAGGGCGCGUAGGCGGCCUUCUAAGUCGAACGUGAAAUCCCCGGGCUCAACCCGGGAACUGCGUCCGAUACUGGAGGGCUUGAAUCCGGGAGAGGGAUGCGGAAUUCCAGGUGUAGCGGUGAAAUGCGUAGAUAUCAGGAGGAACACCGGUGGCGAAGGCAGCUCGCUGGGACGUUACUGACGCUGAGGAGCGAAAGCGUGGGGAGCGAACAGG